rnacentral:lncRNA from 7 species
GUGUUGUGUAACCAGGGCUCGGCACGCGCGUUGGGUAACGCCGCCGACAUUUCACCUACUUUCAAGCCACUGCUGCGACGAAUCCGUUUGGCCCCAAGUUGUUUUCGCCUCCAAGGAAAGGACCAAGGAGCCUCUGAAGAUAUAAUCUCAUUAUCUGGAAGCACUUGCAUGAGGAACGGUUAGUUUUAUGGAAGGAGAGCUGCUGCAAAAGAGAGAGAGACCUGACUUGGGUACUGAUUUGUGCCUUCCUGGUGCAGAUUUGUCAGCGCAGAGUGUUCCCACAGGGCCAGCAGGCCAGGCCAAAGGGGGUGGAAAGGAGAGAAUCAAUACAGCUGCCAUCCUUUAUUGGGAGGAAUCUACAGAUCUCACCUUGAUUUACUGGGGAGAUCGAUAUCUCAACCUUCAUUAAAGUGGGUGCUAUGUUGGACUGGAUAAGGCUCACCUGCUGCGAGAGCAAAUUGUGUGCGGAUGCCUGUCCGCAUAUGUGGAGAUCAUUCAGCGUGGUCUUCGUGUACUCAAGGCUGGAUGCUGUAUAGUUCACCAGCUACUGCAGGGCUGCAUGCAGUUAGCUCAGCACCAGGCCUGGAAAGACAGGGGCAAGUUCCAUAUAUACGGAGUGGGGACACUGCCUGGCACACCCUCCUGACUCAAAACUCUAUCUGUGCUUUCCCUUUUGUCAGAGUGGCAGCUUCAAUACAAUCUGACUUUAU